UGGGGAAUUUUGCACAAUGGAGGAAACUCUGAUGCAGCGACGCCGCGUGAGUGAUGACGAUCUUCGGAUUGUAAAACUCUGUCCUUAGUGAAGAUAAUGACAGUAACUAAGAAGCAAGCCCUGGCUAAAUACGUGCCAGCAGCCGCGGUAAUACGUAUGGGGCAAGCGUUGUCCGGAAUUAUUGGGCGUAAAGGGUACGUAGGCGGUUUAAUAAGUCCUAAUUAAAAGGCUAUGGCUCAACCAUAGUAUGGUUAGGAAACUGUUGAACUUGAGUAGAUGAGGGGAAAGUGGAAUUCCAUGUGUAGCGGUGAAAUGCGUAGAUAUAUGGAGGAACACCAAUGGCGAAGGCAACUUUCUGGAAUCAAACUGACGCUGAGGUACGAAGGCGUGGGGAGCAAACAGG
rnacentral:rRNA from 1 species